rnacentral:rRNA from 1 species
UACAGAGGCCUCGAGCGUUAUGCGGAAUCACUGGGCUUAAAGCGUGUGUAGGCGGACUUCUAAGUACCUUGUGAAAUCCCACGGCUCAACCGUGGAACUGCUCGGUAUACUGGUUGUCUUGAGCCAUCUAGGGGCGAGCGGAACAAGUGGUGGAGCGGUGAAAUGCGUAGAUAUCACUUGGAACGCCAACGGUGAAAACAGCUCGCUGGGGAUGUGCUGACGCUGAGACACGAAAGCCAGGGGAGCGAACGGG